rnacentral:rRNA from 1 species
UUUAAAAUAAAACAAAUAGGAGGAAAAGAAACCAACAGGGAUUGCCUUAGUAACGGCGAGUGAAGCGGCAACAGCUCAAAUUUGAAAUCUGGUCCCCUUUGGGGGCCCGAGUUGUAAUUUGAAGAGGAUGCUUUUGGCGAGGCGCCGUCCGAGUUCCCUGGAACGGGACGCCGCAGAGGGUGAGAGCCCCGUACGGUCGGACGCCGAGCCUCUGUAAAGCUCCUUCGACGAGUCGAGUAGUUUGGGAAUGCUGCUCAAAAUGGGAGGUAAACCCCUUCUAAAGCUAAAUACUGGCCAGAGACCGAUAGCGCACAAGUAGAGUGAUCGAAAGAUGAAAAGCACUUUGAAAAGAGAGUUAAAAAGCACGUGAAAUUGUUAAAAGGGAAGCGCUUGCGACCAGACUUGCGCCCGUCGGAUCAACCGUCGCUUGCGGCGGCGCACUCCGGCGGGCUCAGGCCAGCAUCAGUUCGUCCGGGGGGAGAAAGGCGGCGGGAAUGUGGCUCUUCGGAGUGUUAUAGCCCGCCGUGUAAUACCCUCGGGUGGACUGAGGACCGCGCGUAUGCAAGGAUGCUGGCGUAAUGGUCGUCAGCGACCCGUCUUAACAACCGGGACCAAAAGCC